AAGUCCUACGGGGGGCAGCAGUAGGGAAUCUUCGGCAAUGGGGGCAACCCUGACCGAGCAACGCCGCGUGAGUGAAGAAGGUUUUCGGAUCGUAAAGCUCUGUUGUAAGAGAAGAACGUGUGUGAGAGUGGAAAGUUCACACAGUGACGGUAACUUACCAGAAAGGGACGGCUAACUACGUGCCAGCAGCCGCGGUAAUACGUAGGUCCCGAGCGUUAUCCGGAUUUAUUGGGCGUAAAGCGAGCGCAGGCGGUUGGAUAAGUCUGAAGUUAACGGCUGUUGCGUAACCAUCGUAUGCCUU
rnacentral:rRNA from 1 species